AUUACGGCGCCGUUUCCCUUUUUAAUUGGCGUAGUUCAACUCAUCAUCCACCCAAGUUCAUUUCGUUCAAAGCUAUAAAUAACCCCUCAAACCAUUCAACUUUCCCACCACCACUCCUCACUCCUUCAACUCAUUAACCUCUCUCUCUCUCUCUCCUUCAACUCAUUAACCUCUCUCUCUCUCUCUCUCUCUCUCAUUUUCAUCCGCAAAUGGCGAACCGUAGAAGCCUCUUUUCUCUCUCACUUAUCUUUGUGUUCAUGAUCAACUCAGCCAUAGCCACUCCAGUCACAUACAAUGUGGCCAGUUUAGGAGCCAAAGCAGAUGGCAAGACUGACUCCACAAAAGCCUUCCUCUUUGCAUGGGCUAAAGCUUGUGCCUCGAUGAAUCCCGGUGUCAUUUAUGUGCCGGCAGGAACGUUCUUUCUUCGCGAUGUGGUGUUCAGUGGGCCUUGCAAGAACAAUGCCAUCACCUUCCGCAUUGCCGGAACCCUUGUGGCCCCGUCGGAUUACCGGGUCAUCGGUAAUGCAGCUAACUGGAUUUUCUUUCACCAUGUAAACGGGGUUACCAUAUCAGGUGGAAUUCUUGACGGCCAAGGCACGGCCUUGUGGGCUUGCAAGGCCUCUCAUGGCGAGAGUUGUCCCAGCGGAGCAACGGUAAUUAAUUCACUACUUUAAAUAUCAUAUUCAUGACACCAUUAAAUAUCAAAUUCAUGACACCAUUAUUUUGUGCUUCAUUAUUAGUGAGAAUUUUAAAGGUCAACGUACGUACAAUUUGCUUUAUUAUUUGCUACCAAUUGAAUUGAGGGUUUAUAAAAUAAGUUUAAACUCUACAGAACGUAAUCAAAUGGACAUGAUAAAUUGUACCACAAGCUUAGCUUGAUCAAGUAAUUUCGUGUAUAUAUGUGCAGACUUUGGGUUUUUCCGACUCAAACAACAUCGUGGUGAGUGGAUUGGCAUCCCUAAACAGCCAAAUGUUCCACAUAGUCAUCAACGACUGCCAAAAUGUGCAAAUGCAAGGUGUCAGGGUUUCUGCUUCCGGGAACAGCCCUAACACCGAUGGCAUUCAUGUCCAAAUGUCAUCUGGUGUCACAAUCCUCAACUCCAAGAUUGCAACCGGUGACGAUUGUGUCUCAAUUGGCCCCGGAACCUCAAAUUUGUGGAUAGAAGGCGUUGCUUGUGGACCUGGCCAUGGAAUUAGGUACGACAUCAAAAUUAUAUAUUUAUCCAUGAUUGAUCAAACUAGCUAAAUGCAUACUAUUUCAUAAUAUAUGUUAUAAUGUAUAUCUUUUUUCUUCGUUGCUUAAUGACAUUUGAACUUAGGACAUCUUUCAAUAAAGUGGAGAUUAAUUGGUUGCUAGUAGAGAUUCAUUGCCUACAAAAAGUAUAUCUUUCUUUUGGGUGGAUGUUCUAGUUGUAAAUUUAACAUUGCUUUAUUUGAUGGUUCAGCAUUGGAAGUCUAGGCAAGGAGCAAGAAGAGGCCGGUGUACAAAAUGUAACAGUUAAAACGGUUACCUUUACUGGUACUCAGAAUGGUCUAAGAAUCAAGUCAUGGGGGAGGCCAAGCACUGGGUUUGCUAGAAAUAUUCUUUUCCAACAUGCUACAAUGGUCAAUGUCGAAAAUCCUAUUGUCAUAGAUCAACAUUAUUGCCCCGACAACAAAGGGUGCCCUGGUCAGGUAAGAUAUCAUUCUUGCUCUAACGGUCAAUUCCCAGAGUUUAAUAUUACAACUAAAUUUUCUCUUCUUCACUUUCAUAGUGUAACGUUUUUGAUAAAAACGUUGGCAUCGCCAAAUUAUAACUGUCUAAUUUCGAAACAUAUCAAAAGCUUUCUUGGGCUUCCACCUAGAAGAGCCAAUAAUUUUAGACCCAAAGCAAAUCCAAUAACUCCUUCUUCCAUGGGCUUGCUCUCCUACUACUUACAAAGGUCGAGCCUUGCCCAUUGUAACCUUUGUAACUUAUUAAUUUCAUUGUAUGUGCAAUGAGAUUGAGGGUUGUAGCUUAAGUGGUUAACAAUAUUUACUCAUGUAUUCGAAGUUCUAGAUUUAAUUCCCCUCUUUUCCAAUACCAUUUUUAUCAAAAUGACUUCAUCGUAGCUUAGCCAAAAAAGCAUUAAACUUCCCAUUAAGCCGAAUUACCAUGCUAUAAUGCUUGUUCACCUUCUGUUUUAUCAAAAGCUGGAAAUCUGACUUCCUAUUGUUUUUUUUCUUUUGUCAAUUUUGUUUUUCGAUAGGUUUCCGGAGUUCAAAUUAGCGAUGUGACAUACGAAGACAUACACGGUACAUCAGCAACAGAAGUUGCAGUAAAAUUUGAUUGCAGUCCCAAGCACCCUUGCAGCGAGAUCAAAUUGGAGGAUGUGAAGCUUACUUACAAGAACCAAGCAGCUGAGUCUUCAUGUAGCCAUGCAGAUGGAACAACUGAGGGUGUGGUUCAGCCUACAAGUUGUUUGUAGAGUGGAAAAAUAUGAACUGCUUGUAGAAGUAUUGAAAUCCAAAAGUUUGCCCUCCAGUACUAAGGACAAAUGAAAAGUGAAUUAUACGAUUUAUAUAGGAAGAAUGAGCUUGUGUUGUUGGCAGCCUACUUGGGCUUCCCUUGAGCCUGGCCGUUCAAUUAGUUUAGUUUGUUCAAACUCGUCCACUUCGAUGGGUGUUUAUGUUAUGAAUUGUUGUAAGAUUAUGUUCGGGAUACGUUAAAUUUAUAAGAUUAAAUUUUAUGUUGAUGGCUAAUGUGGCAUUUGACAUAGGAUUCAAUAUUCUAUCAAUUUAAUUCACAAUUUUAUUAUAAUCGAAGCACACAUUAAAUAGUAAAAAUUUGGUUCAAGAAACAAAAGGAUUUGAAGUCUCGCAUGAACUUUUUGGUUGGAGCAUUUUCUCAUGUCAAAUUUUACCCGUUAAAAAUUUAUUAUGAUAUUUUAACAUUUCGGUUGGAGUAUUUUUUUCAUGUCAAAUUUGACCCGUUAAAAAUUUACUAUGGUAUUUUAGCAUUUCGGUUGGAGAUGUAUAAAUCUUAAAAAUGCAUUCAAGAUGCAUUUUUGUUUCUUAAGCUUUGAGCUUUAGGUAAUUAACUUUAAAUGUUGUUGGGCACCUUGCACUAGUUGAUUAAAGAAAAAUAGACCCGAAGCAAGAUUCCUUGUAGUUGCCAAUUCGAAGUUUUCUUUAUCGCUACAUACUUACUGGUCUACAAGUUCUCUCUCUAAUACAUAAUUUGACAUAAAUAAAUACAGUGAAGAGUGCAUUGACUAAACAGAAAAAAAAACAAAAAAAGCAGCACGUAAGCAAUUACGUGCAUUUGGUGUAAAAGCUAAAGGCCUCUGAUUUAUGUAAGCAGUUACGGUAAUCAUAUUAUAUUAUAUGUAUCUUAGUUCUGCAAUUGUAACAGGAAUAAUAUUGUUUUGUUAUCCCCAAUCAAUAAUACAAUGAUACGUGAAAAAGUUAUUUAACAUGUCAUUGCGUUAUUAGCUGGGGAUAGCAAACAGUGCUAUCCCCAUUACAUGAAAGUCUUUCUCCUGCAUAUCCUAUUAUACUAUUAUAAAACUCAAUUGGUCAAUCAUAGUGAAAAAAAUAUAGUGAAAGAAAAAAGAAGAAGAAGAAAAUAUCAAUUAAGCCCCUCUUAUAUUGAACACUUCAAUAAUAAAAUAAAAAUUGCAUAUGGAGUAAAGUCAGUCAGUUAAGAUAGUAUGCUAGUUCUUUUGCACCUGAGUUCAAUUUCCUUCCCCGAACAUUUUCAAAUAAAUAAUAAUAAAAUAAAAUGUGAAUUUGAUAGUCAAUGUCGUAGUAAAAUAUGGUUUUUUAGUAUCAAUAUUAAGGAAAGCCAUUGUUCUUUCUAGCAGAAUGCCCGCCACUGCUAGAGAGAGAGAGAGAGAGAGAGCGGAAUGGCAGAAGUGAGUAACAAGCAGGUGAUACCGAGGGAGUAUGUCACUGGCUUUCCCAAAGAGUCAGACUUGUACGUGAAUAGCACUGCUACUAUCAAGUUGAAGCUUUCUGAGGCCCCCGAGCAUGAGGGUUCUUCAAAGAAACUAGUUCUAGUGAAGAAUCUUUACUUGUCCUGCGAUCCCUACCAACGACUAUUUAUGGAAAGAAUCGAAGGCCUCAGCAGCCAAUCCACUUCCUCCUAUACGCCUGGUUCUGUAAGCAAAACCCAUCAUAUAUCUUUUCCUUUCAAUUUCUGUAAACAUAUAUACCAAAUGUUAUGCUCAAAUAUAUAUUAAUUGUUAAACAUUGUUCCCUUAAAAAAAACAAUUUAUUGCAAAAUUGGAAUAUACAAGAGGUAACUCUGCACAAAUAUUAAUGACAAGAUGAGGUGGCUAAAAGCACUGUUAAUGUCUAUCAGCGCGCAAUGAGCACGAAUAACUGUGAUUAUUAAGUAGUAGGAGCUGAUAGUUGUUUUUGUUACCACAUCCUAUGCCACAAAUAUUAAUUAUUACCAAUUAUUCUUCUAGUAAUGCUUGUUUUUUUGUUGAUGGCAACAUUGGGAGGAGGGAAUCAAAUACAAGUUUGAUCAUAUGAUUAAUUUAAUUUUGUUGGUGUAAACGUGCAGCCAAUAUACGGGUAUGGAGUGGCUAAAGUUUUGGACUCUGGGCACCCAGAUUUGAAGGCAGGUGACUUAGUUUGGGGGACUACCUAUUGGGAAGAGUACAGCCGAAUCCCUGAACCCGAAGGCCUGAUCAAAAUCCAGCACACUGAUGUACCUCUAUCCUAUUAUACUGGAAUUCUUGGUAACAAGUCAAACCUAUUUUAGAUCAUGAUGAUAUGUGUUGGUUUAGAUACGUAAGUGUAUUUUUUGUAAUUUCAUUUCAGGUAUGCCUGGUUUGACCGCUUAUGUUGGUUUCUAUGAAAUUUGUUCUCCUAAGAAAGGAGAACAUGUCUUCAUUUCAGCAGCAGCUGGUGCUGUUGGUCAGCUUGUUGGACAAUUUGCAAAAUUAAUGGGUUGUUAUGUUGUUGGAAGUGCUGGCAGUAAGGAAAAGGUACGAACUUGAGAAAUCUUUGAACUUCAAAUUAAUAUUAUCUACACCAUUUUUUCUUGUUUGGGUUGUAUUUUGCUGUUGUUAUUUGGGCCAACUUUGGUGUUGGUUUGGUUUGGGGCCUCUGUUUGUGCGCUGGGACUACAAUGAGUGGAAAGUUAUAAGGGGUAAGUUAUAAGGGGUUCACUUUAUAGCCAUCAGAUCAAUCCAAGGGCUGGGGAGAAUUGAGAUAAAGUUUCACAAUUGGGUAGGUGAGGAACCCAAACCCGAAUUGAAUAUCCAGCACGUCCAAAAAGAAGAAGAAGAGGGAAACACGUUCGAAAAAGAAGAAGAAGAGGCAAGUUCGAAGUUUGAACAGAAAGAACUCAUCUCUCUAAAACCCAGAGGUCUGAGAUACCCAAUGAAGGCAACGGCUAACGACAGUUGAAGGCAACGAUUCGCCACUCCGUUCUCCAGACCCUGAAAAAGUAUUUAUUUGGAGUAGAAGGGGCAAAGGUGUGGAUUCCAAAUCAAUGAAGGGGCGAAGCAGUGGAAGGGGAAGGGGAGAAGCUAUAAUCGUUGGAAGUGGUAGGUUCCAUUUGUGGAGCAAAGAAACAGAAAGACCCCACACAGACACCUUGCAAUAACCAGCAUUUGGUGAGUAAUUUAUGGAAUUUGAGUUUAGGGUUAGAGUAAUGGUUUUCCUCAAUUUGUAGCAUAAAUUUUGUUGGAUUUGGCAUCUCUUCGUUGUGCUUGAGUUGCAUGUUAAUUUUUGCUUAGGUAUAUGUUAAAAAAAGAAUGAAAAUCAAGUCAAUAACAAGUGAAUAACAUGUCAAUAAUGAUAUGAAUAAGAUAAUGGUGUUGAAUUGGAGGAGGCCCUCAAAACCUUCCACAUUUGAAGCAGUGCAUAGUGCAGAUUAAGAAGAGGCGGUAGAAUAUAUAUAUAUAUAUAUAUAUAUAUAUUUUAUGAAGUAAAUAUGAUUUCCUUUGUUACUAAAUUUGCCUGAGAAACAUUUGAACAGAUAAUAAUAAACUCAUGAAUAGAAGUGCAAAGCAUUUGAUGAGUAAUUUAAGGAAUUUGAGUUUAGGGUUAGAGUAAUGGUUUUCCCCAAUUUGUACCAUCAAUGUUGUUGGAUUUGGCAUCUCUUAUUUGUGCUUCAAUUGCAUGUUAAUUUUUGCUUGGGUAUAUGUUAAAAAACGAAUGAAAAUAGAGUCAAUCACAUGUCAAUAACAUCUCAAUAACAUGUCAAUAACAUGUUAGUAAUGAUAUGAAUAAGAUAAUGGUGUUAAAUUGGAGGAGGCGCUCAAAACCUUCCACAUUUGAAGCAGUGCAGAGUGAAGAGUACCUCUCUGGCCCUAGAAUUUAUAUAUUUUGUGAAAUAAAUAUGAUUUCAUUUGUUACUAAAUUUGCCUAUGAGAAAUGAGAACAGAUAAUAAUAAACUCAUGAAUAAAAGUGCAAAGCAUUUGAAAUGAAGGUUGAUCUAUGACGAUUGUGGGUGACUGAAGAAAAAGCUAGAAAGAAAGAAGGAUGUGGCAAUUGCUUAGCAAGCAGAUAGCAGAGUAGAUGCUUUGCUUUGCUUCCUUCCACUAUAUUUCUUAUUUAUUUAUUUUGUGUUGUGUAUGAGAUGACAAUAAUUGUCAUGUGUGUGAAGUGCAGAACUUGCCUACAUUGCACUCACACGAGUAUGGAUCCAUAAAUAAAACACGUGAAAUUGUUUGUAAUUCACAUAAUCAUUGCAUUAACAGGUAUUUGCACAAAAUUUGUCAUAUUGCUUUGAUGAUGUUAAAGCCUAUGAUCAGUAAUCCGUAUGCUCAUGUACUUUGUAAAAUUUGUAAUGUGCCUGGUUGACUAGUUGUGAUUGUGCAAAUACGUGGCAGUAUAUGUGUUCACGUUAUUUCACAUUGUAUUUGAGGAAAUGGGAUCCAACGUGGAGCUGGUAUGGCCAGAGGCAGAGGCAUAUUCGUCACGGGUGAACAACUGCUCACAUGCAAAUUCAUCUCUAGCUGCAAUUCGAGCGAAGUUGAGUGCGGAACAAUUAGAACAAUUCAAGACAUCAUGCUUUGGCCAUCUUCUGAAUAUAGAUAAGAUUCAGUUUAGCGGGCAGAUUGUGCAUGGGGCUGUGUUGCGUAGAGUAGCGGGGCAGGGUGUGAAAGACUUGGAUGGACUGAGUUUCUUAUUAGGGUGUGACGUUGCUCAGUUCACUCGUCAGGAUUUCUGUUUGAUCACAGGGCUUCGUUUUGGGGAAGUGCCUGAAGUUUCCAGUGGAGAGAGUGAUGUAAUCAGACUUCAGAAAAGAUAUUUUAUAGACGAAGGAAUUACAUGCAAUGCUUUAGAAGAAGCAUUUAUGGGGUGCACAGAGGAAGAUGACAUCUACAAGCUAGCUCUUGUUUACUUUGCUGAGUUAGUGGUUUUGGGAAGGGACAAACAUUUGAACAUCAAUCUAAAUUACCUGACCCUUGUAGAGGACUUGGAUGCGUUCAACAGGUAUCCGUGGGGUUCGGUGUCCUUUGACAAAACCCAAGACAGUCUAUUUUCUGCACCAACAAAGUAUGUGAAAAGCUUGCAAAAUGAAGAGGGAAGAGGGAAGGGGAAAAGUAAGGUAACGGGAACAAGCCGGAGAAAUGAGAAGGGCAGGAAGGAUAAGCAUGGUGAAGCGCAAAGGAGUGGCUGGAGUUUUAAAGGUUUCACGUAUGCUUUCCAGGUACAUGGUAAUAAUGUUCAUGUGAGUUAUGUUUUGUUUUUCUUUAAAACAUAAAUAAUGACUUUUGUCCUGUGAAUUGUGUAGAUUUGGGUAUAUGAAUUAAUUCCUAGAAUGGCGGACCUGAAUUACUGCAAGGUUGUUGAUCCGACCGCUGUCCCGCGUAUUUUGCGAUGGAGAACUACUACGUCUGUUCCAGAGAUGAGAAAGUUGAACAAUUAUUUUUUCCAGAGCAAAGAGGUUUGGUUUGCAGCCCUUGGAACUAUUGAUAAGAUUGAAUGAAAUUUUGAAGUAGAAUGAUUUAAUAUGACUGUGGUUUGUAUUCUGAAACAGUCAGUUCAGUUGCGGGCGCUAUGUCCGAGUGAAGAGGAAAUGAGACAGCCAUAUUGGAGUUGGCCACAGGAUCGCCCUGAUGAGACAGCCAUAUUGGAGUUGGCCACAGGAUCGCCCUGCUGUUGUCUCGGCAGAGUCAAUUCCUUCUUUAUGUGGUGAUCUUGAUCAGUUGAACAAGGUGGUAAGCUUGUUGAGGUCCGAGUUGUUUCAAGUAAAGCGGGAAAAAGACGUCCUUCACUUAAAGGUCAUACGGAUGGAAAAACUGUUGGACCAAUGUUUAGGUCCUCAGUUUGAGCAGGAAGUAAGGAGGGACCUAGCUUUACUGAAACAGAGGACGAAGCGUUGUGUCGUCUCACAUCUAUUUAGGGGAUAUCGGGAAUUGGAUGACAUUCAAUGGGAUGAAGGGCCAAGUAACAGAAAUGAGGGAGAGGAAAAGGAAGAUGAAGGGAUUGAAGGGGGUGAAGGGCCAAGUAAUAGAAAUGAGGGAGAGGAAAAGGAAGAGGAGGGGAUUGAAGGAGAGGAAAAGGAAGAGGAGGGGAUUGAAGGGGGUGAAGUGCAAGGAAUACCAAGUGAGGUAGAGGAAGGGCAAAGGAAAAGAAGUGAAGGAGAGCAAGUGCAAGUAAAAAGUAGCAAAGGAGAGGAAGCCCAAAGACAGAGCAGUGAGGGAGAGGAAGUGAAAAGAAAAAGCAGUAAGGGAGAGAAACUGCAAAGGAAAAAAAGGGAGGGCAAGGAAGUGAAAACACAAAGAAGUGAGGAAAAGGAAGUGCAAAGAAACCAAUGUGAGAAAGAAGAUAAUGAAGUUAUGUUGCUUGGGGAUGACAUUGGCGAGAGCACGGAGGGGACACUGCUUGAGUUUACUGUCGGGGACAUUGAUUUGGAUCAACCUACAGCUGUGCUAUCUCAGUUGAACGUGUGGUUGAAUGAUAAAGGUAAAGCUGUGGCACAAGGGGUCCAAUUACGGAAAAGGAAGAGGAUCAUUCCUAUGUGGAAGAUCAUUGAAGGCAUUGAAUUGGUUCCAAAAACUGGGGCACAGACAACCGGACUGAAGAUGUUAGACCCAAUGAAGGCGAUUCCGCAUGAUGAUCUGGUGAAUUUGCUGAAACUUUGUUGGGAAUGGCGCCAGGACCCAAAGUAAGUCCCUUGCAAUUAUAAGAUAGAAGCACGACUGUAUAUAAUUUUUAAUAUACAGUGUUCUAAAACUGUUUUAUAUUCAUAGUUUAGUGAUGCAAUUUGGCAACGUGGAAGCUGAGAUUGAAUUCUUCGCUUCCCUCGUGAAAGCUGAUGGUUGGCUGAAAGGAGAUGUAAGUGUAAUUGAUUAUGCAUUUGUUUUAAUGUAUAUAGAUUAUGAGAUUGACAAGAACAACAUGUUGCAGCACAUUGAGUUGGGGUUGUAUCUCAUCCGGAAGCGACAACAACAGUUUGAGGAAGUAGAAAUAGCGGACUGGACAACGACAGAUGUUUUUUUUAUGGUAUGUCAUCGGCCUUGACCAAGUGCCGUUAAUAAUUACACAUUUUCCAUACAGACAAUAGUGGAGGUGUUUAACCAUUGAUUGUUUUGUAUUUCACAGAAUCACAUUCGAACUUGCUUUGCGGAUAAUAAAAGAAAAAAACAGCAGCUUGGGUGGAAAAUCAGAAAAAGUUUACUAAACGUUGUAAAUGGGAAGGUUCCUCCGUGUGGGAUGGAUUGGCAGAACGUCUAUACGGUGUAUACCCCAGUUAUGUUGACGAAGUACAAGCAUUGGGUGGCUGUAAUGAUUGAUCUGGUAUUGUGUGAAAUCAAAGUGUACGAUUCAAAGGUUUCACUAAUUCCAGAUGACAUCGUAAAGGAAGAACUCGCCCCGCUAUCAAUUAUGCUUCCAAAUCUUCUCAACACCAUCGACUUUUAUGAAGAAGGUGUUUAUGCAAACAAUUGCAUGCGAGAUUGGUGGUGUCCGUGGCCAAUAGAGCGUGUGGAUGUUCCACAACAGUCUAAUGAGUAAGCACAACUUGCAAUUUAAUUUUAUUACUUUCAAUUGUCAAUUACGUUAGAAUGUCAUUAGUUGAAUUGAUCGAGUUCUUGUUUUGCUUCAGAGGCGAUUGUGGCAUGUUUGUGUUAAAGUACAUUGAGCUUAUCAGCGCUCAGCUUUCGUUAGCUAUUUGCACCUCGCACAACAUGCCUUUUUUUCGGUUGAAAUUGGCUGCGGAGAUAACAAGGGGAGAUGCUUACUUCCCAUGAUAUUGGUUGAAGAUGACAAAUGGUACAUGAGAAGGUUUUGGGAAUGUCCAUUCUCAAACUAAUGUAAAUACACAAUAGAGACGUACGUGUCCUUUUCGAAUUCUACCGCUAACUCCUUCAUGACAUUUACAUGUUUGUUAACCAAACUGCAUUGAAUUGGAAUUUUAAGACUGCAUAUGUUAAUUGGGAUUUGAAGAUGGCUUUUUAAGUGUAUUACACCAUUGCAAAGUGAUAUGUCAUUGUUGAUGCAAGCCACCAUUAUUCGCAAUGAGUUGCAUCAUAAUAGGUGUGUAAACAUGCGAAAGGUUUUCGGCAGCUCAGUAGCAUAAAAGUAGAAACAAUUACAAUAUACACAAAAUGAACAACAAUUCACUUGCGUUUGGACAAGCAAUACAGACACAACAGACAAACAAUAUACACAAAAUUGGCCUGCCAUAUACAGACAUACACACAGUAGACAUGCAAUAUACACACAGUAGACAUGCAAUAUACACACAAUAGACAUGCAAUAUACACACAAUACACAUGCAAUAUACACACAAUACUCCCUUAACACACACAAUAGACAUGCCCUUGCCCACAAUAAUGAUGCAAUAUACUUCAGUCCCCAAGUACACCAACCAUAAGGAAGUCGUAUUGAAUAGGAUAUUAAACUUAACAGUUGUUCUUCCUACUAAAAGAAAGAAUAACGUCCGUUUCCCCCCUUCAUUCUUACUUCAGUGAUACUUGUGGCCCCAAUAAACAUCCAAUAUUGGGUCAAGGAUAUUCCAUAUACAUGCAGCAAACUAUCAAUAAACCUUCAAUAAACAUUCAAUAUCGGUUCUAUAACAUGCGAAAUACAUGCAGUUAACAAAUAUUACAAAAUGGGUUUAGGGUCUCAUUGGUGGUGCGUGCAACAUGUCUUGUGCGGAAGAACUUUCACAAUCUUUGAAACCAUGCAGUUAAAUGAUCCUUAAAAGAACAAAUAAAAUGACAAUUGAUACAACUAAUAAAACUAAUACCAAGUCCUUAAUGGACUUCAGCAUGUUCAGCACUCUAGCAUCAUACGUGUCAUCUUGAUGUUCUGCUUCAGCGGAGGUUACAUCAACCCAUUCGAAUCCAUUGCAACUGGUGGCUCCCUAAUUGCAGGCAUCAUAUAUGGAAUAUAAUUCUGUUAGAGUUAGACAUGGGUUUAUUUUGACCCACAUACAUAUUAUUGAAAUUAAAACUUACAUAGGAGGUUAGACACUUCCAGAAUGGCUUCCCUCGAUUUUUGUCAGAUUUUGAAACCCGAAGCACCAUUGUAGCUCCACAAUACUGACACCUCUUUGUUUGAGCAGGAGAUGAAGACGAAGACAUGUUGAAUCUUCUCAGUUGUACCUCUUCUCACUCAGAUCUUCUCACUGAAACCUCUUCGGACUCAUACCUUCUCACUCAUCGUUGUCAUUCAUACCCCUUCACUCAUAACCCUAAACUUGUCACUCAGCUCUCUCUCAUCUCUGCCCAAAUCGAGUUAUAUUUCUUUUUUUUGGGAUCAUUUGGUGGGUUGGUCACGAUCUCGACACCCGUACCGUCGGCAUUGCGACAUCUUUUAGCCCGAAAAGCAAUAUAAACUACUUCACUACCAAAUAUAUUUUCUGAAAAAUGAGGGGACACUGCUUCAAAUUUAUUAUUUUAUAUAUAUUUCAUUAAGGCAACUAGUUGGAUAAGAAUCCGUCAUUAUUGGUUCCAUUUGAAUAACAUUACUAGGGGUAGUUGGGUGUGGGAAAAUGAAAAAGUAUAUGAUGGGACCUUCUGUCACUACUCAGUAAUCCAUCACAUUUGUAUCAAUGAAUUUGAUAGUGGGAUAAUCCCACAAAUGGCUAUGCAAAUAGCCAUUUAAUGAACUUUUUGACUGUCUGACUCUGUAUGCACCGUUAUGACGUUUUCCCUUCUUUUGUCUUCAGUUUUAAUUCACUUGGGUUCAGUUUCUUUAAAAAUGGUCAACUUGGAAAAACCCCAACUGGAAACACCUUUUCAAAACACUAUAAACAGAGGCUAAAACAAAACGUGUACCCCAAAUAUUCUCAUUUAUCCCCUCUGCCACUCCUCAAAUCGUUCCAUUCCAAAAACUUUUCAAUGAAUUCGAAACACUUCACUACAGUCGGAGGAAAGAGAAGGAAGCAUCUCCAUUUCGAUAUGCCCGAAGCCUUCAUCCCGGAGUCCGCUUGGUUUCAAGUGAUGUUAUACGUGGCAACCGAAUCAUCGGAAGAUCUCUUCCGUAUGGCAUCUGUGUGCCCAUUGUUCCAAACUUUGGCAAACAGUCCACAAGUGUGGAACACCAUUUCAAUGGCAAAGUACCCACACCAUCCUAGCUGGUACCGUGCCAGACCUGCGGUCCAGCAUUUCUUGCAACAAUGCAGGGCUUGCGAUAACCCUGAGUCGAUAUUUAGAGAAGCAUUCGAUAUUUUUUUCAGGGCCAGUAAGGUGGAAGCGUUGUAUGGGAUGCGCAUUGCAGCCACGGCAGGCCAUAUGGAAGCGGCAUAUGUAGUUGGACUACUUGGUAUAUCCGGAAUUGGUCAGUCAAAAGAGGAUGCAUUACAAUUCUUGUGUUCUUUGAAUCAACGUAACAACAUUGAUAUGAAAGGAACCAGGGAUGCUUUGACACGAAGAUUAACCGGACCAAGAGUUGCAAGACAUAUCGUAGAUAUAUUUGACUAUGGGAAGAUUAAGUUCAAUCGCUGCAGCACUUGUAACAACAAUGAAUGGUAUUUUGUUAUUCAAGGCUGGCCUAGUGAAGACAAGAUAAAUCCUGCCUUCUAGACUUGUUGCAAUCGAUGCAAAUGGCACCGUGAGAGUAUUUUUUGGUUCAAACUGAUGCGUGAGUAUGUUGUGCGAGGGAAUCAUGUAUUUUUGCAUUAGUUUUAGUACGAAUUUACGGUUUUGAUGCAUUGUGGACUUACUUCUCUUCACUUCUAGGUUGGCUGGCUACGUUGUACAAAUGUUGUUUAAAUGUUGUUUAAAUGUUGGUAUUUUGUCAUAAACCGUUUUAUAUAUAAAUGUAUAAUAUUUAUUAUAUAGCGGAAUUAUUACUUACAUCAUAGACGGCUACGAAUGACAUUUUACUGACACAGAUAUUUUGCUCACCCACCCCAAUAUUCAUAUUUGGUAAACGAAAAGUCAUGCAUGGAGUAAAUAGGUGUCUUUUCACCAAUGCUUGGGAAUGACAUUUUCCCACUUAGCAUAUUCGACAGGAUUUGGUUACACGUUUCUUAAGCAAAAGUUGAACAGUGAAUGACGUUGAAUAAUUUGUUUGUGUGGAAGGAGUACAAUGGAUGACUUGUAUAUUUCCAUAUUAUGUUUGAAAACAUCCCUUCAACCUAAAAAAUAAAAAAAUUAACAAAUUGAAGAACAGAGAAACCGAUGAGCACUACAAAUGGCCUAUUCGCACGGAAAAUAAAAUUGUUUUAAACAAGUUGGACUAAAUAUAAUUAACAAAUGGACAGCCUAAAAAGUAAUAUCAUAAUAAUUAUAAUAAUUGUGGAUUAAUAAUAAUAAAAUACUAAUGUAGCAUAACCAUGAAACAGGGAAUUCAGUAGGAAGAUGAAAUCUCAAUAAGUUCGUUGAAAUGUUCGGAUCGUUUUUCUAAUUUUUGUGUAUUUAGUUCUGAAUUUUCCAAGAAAAAAAGUAAUUAAAUAAUAAUUUAGGGUAAAAUGGGAUGAUGUGGCCAUGUUGACUGACGUACACUUGUGCAAGUACUCAUAAGUGAGGGGCUGAGAUCGCGCCAGGUGUCUUCUUGGAAUUAGGGUUGGCUAUUUUAGUGGAAAAAUCCUUGAAAAUAGGUAAAAAAUAGUAGGAAAUUCCUAUUCUAGGUUGGGAAAAUUACCCGCGCCUCCUUGUGACGUCAUAAAACUAGGAGAACCUAUAAAUCAUCCGUCUCGCAAUGAAAUAAUCCAAAAUGUUUUACAUAACUCACUUCCCUCUUUACCCUAAGUAUUGAUGUUUGUUAACUUGAACUUCAAUAACCUACUUCAACAAGCAUCUCCCGUUAAUGUUGGGAAUAAUUGUCUAAAAUGCGUAACAAUGAAUCGGAGAAUUCAGCAAGGGAGAUGGAGUGUCAAUGAGUUCGUAGCAAUUUUCGGAAAUAAUUUUGAAUUUUUGUGUAUUUAGUUAUGAAUUUUGUAAGACAAAGUAAUAAAAUAAUAAUUUAGGGUAAAAUGGGAGGAUGUGGCCAUGUUGACUGACGUACACUUGUGCAAGUAGUCAAAAGUGCCGGGCUGAGAUCGCGCCAGGUGUCAUCUUCUUUUCAAUUUUGGAUUCUUUUGUUAAAAAAUCUUUGAAACUAAGUAAUAAAUAGUAGGAAAAUCCUAAAAAUGCCCCCAAAAUUACUCCGGCCUACUUGUGACGUCAUAAAACUAGGAGAACCUAUAAAUCAUUCGUCUCGCAAUGAAAUAAUCCAAAUUGUUUUACAUAACUCACUUUCCUCUUAACCCUAAGUAUUGAUGUUUGUUAACUUAAACUUGAAUAACCUACUUCAACAAGCAUCUCCCGUUGAUGUUCGGAAUUAUUUUUAAAAAUGCGUAACAAUGAAUCGGAGAAUUCAGCAAGGGAGAUGGAGUGUGAAUGAGUUCGUAGCAAUUUUCGGAUAAUUUUUUUAAUUUUUGUGUAAUUAGUUCUGAUUUUUGUAAGGAAAAGUAAUAAAAUAAUAAUUUAGGGUAAAAAGGGAGGAUGUGGCCAUAUUGACUGACGUACACUUGUGCAAGUAGUCAUAAGUGACGGGCUGAGAUCGCGCCAGGUGUCCUCUUGCUAUUAUUUUGGCUUUUUUAGUGCAACAAUCUGUGGACAUAGGUAAUAAAUUCUACGAAAAUCCAAAAAAUGCCCGGAAAAUGAGAAAAUGAAAAUUAUUUGUACAUAACUCACUUUCCUCUUAACCCUAAUUCACGUGUAACACGUAUAUUUCGGAUAAUAUUCGAUAUAUAAUUUGUAAUAAUACAAUAUUUAGUUUCACUAUAUACAAUAAUAUGUUUUGUUAUAAUAAUGUACAUAAAUAAUAAUUGCACAUGCUUUGAAGCCAUCAUUGCAACUACGCCUAGAGCUUUCAAGACGUCAGUUCGUAUUCAAUAAGUUGUCCACAUGCAAGUGCACCUACAGUUUUCAACACGUCAGAGGUAUUCAAUAAGUUGUCCACAUGCAACUGCACCUAGAGUUAUUAACACGUCAGAGGUAUUCAAUAAGUUGUCCAUAUGACGCCGCAUUGGGAAUCAGUAAUAUAUUUUCAAUCAUGUCCAAUCACAUAAAAUAAUGGCAUACUUUUUCUCAAUAACCUCACACAAGUGAAGCAAUUUUAAAACCCUUACUGAAUAUUUGUCCUAGUCUAUAUGAGUGAUUAUAUAAUCAGUCUGCAUUUUUUUCACAGUAUAUGUUAACUUUGAGAGGGAUUCCACAAACAUAAAAUAUAAAGAAAGCAAGAAAUAGUAGGAGAUGAACCAGUAGAAAAAACAAUAUAUAAAUGGUACAUAAUAAUUCCAUAACCUUGUCACAAACGCACUCACAAAAGCUUUUCCAUAAACCUUGUCCUAACAUAUAAUAAAUAAAGGCAACAUUGCAUAUGAUGCAACCAUGUCCAAAUCUGAUACGUGAUCAAAAACAAAUGGACAUGGCAGCAACAUAUGACUGAAGUAGAUGGGCUCUUUGCAUCUUGUGUUUUCGUAAUUAAAGACAUCAAAAUAUUAAGGUUUAAAUCUUCCAUAGUAGUUAGCAUCAAAAUAGCUUUGAAGCAGAGUGUAAAGAAAAUUCCAAUUCCACUGAUUUGCCUCUGCUCAAACACGAGAACCAAAAUGGUUACUUCCCUUGCUGAGUAUAUUUGGUGACGUCGGAAACGGUAAUAGAUGAUCAAUCAAACCCAGGUACGACGAGUUUUGCAUAGGAUCGGAAGUAGUCGAAUCCAGCUUGCAUCACACGCUUCUUUGACUCCACUGCAUUAGAUGAGUUCUUGUAUUUUUGAACAGCUACACUCCGAAGUCGUUUGUGUCUACGCUUCAUGCGCUGCAACUUCACCCUAUCCAGAUUGGCCUGCCUUUUGUCAUCUUCAAUUUGGCCUUCAACAAAUUCCAAACGUGCCCUUGCCCUUUGGAUUUCAUCACCAAGUUGAAGAUGCCUCUCCUUCCAAAAAGCAACAACUCUUUCAGACUCAAAACUUCCAACAAAAUGGUCAUUCUGUCUAGGAAUGUGACAUUGCUUGUCUGGUGACUCACUUGCGUGUCGAAGGCGGUCUUUGUUUGGAGGGGUGUUUAUUAUGCUCACAUCAAACUUGGUUAGUAAAUCCAUUCUUUGGGGGGAAUGAGUUUGUUUGCUUGAGAGAGUAUCAGUAGAUGGAGACAGAUUCGGUGGAGGAGUGAGUUUUGUGUGGAAGGAGAAUUUAUAUGAAAGGGGUGAUAGUAAUACCAAGAAAAGGGUUCCCGCCAAAAAAUAUUUGGUUGAGAAUGUAUAAAUUAAUUUUUGGUCUGAUACAAUCUAAGUUGAAUCCUAACUAGUUUGGUUGAGUUAACUAAGUAGAUGUCACUUCCAUUGAGUUUCUUUCAACCACUAUCAGUGGUGUCAGGAGAGUGUGAGGUUGACAUGCUUGAAAAGCAAAACCUGACACCUAUUUUUAAAAAAUUCCAUAAAAAAAGUACAUAUGUUGACUACACACAAGCUUUGGUAUGUUGGUCUAUAAACCUAUGUUCCCUUUCUCAAACGAAAUUGCAUAUGCAAUCCUCAUCCUCCCAAAACAAAGAGGAUUAUUCAAGCAUGUCAACCUCUUCAGGCGCCAACAACACAAUCGAAGAUGACAAAUUGGAGUCGCAGGUUCUAUUUCCACAUUGUACUCGCCGACCCCUUCCUUUUUCAACAUCAUUUGGGAGUGAGGGGGACUCCGAUGAUCCAUUAGAGGCAAUACAUGCAGUCAGUGGCAAGCUGGAUUAUAAUUCCAGACUGAUCAAUUCAUGGCACGAGAAAUGUGUUGAAGACGAGGCAAUUUUGGCUGAUCUUAACAUUAGAGUGAACAAAGCGUUCUCCCAAAAGAACAAGUACUUGAAGCUGAGUCAUAGCAGGAAGCUGAAAGCUGAGGAGUUGGAUACAGUAAUGAAUGAUGAAAUGAAAGGUUGUUUGCUGAACCACAUGCGAUGCGAAGAGCACCAUAGUGAACUGGAGUUGGCAUUCAACGAAGGAUUCGACAAAUUUCGAGCAUUUGCGGCAACUACUCAUACAAGUUAUGAUUGGAACUAUGUGUCCCCUGAUGCUGUGAGAGAGAUACUAGACGAUGGGGGUGACAUGAAUGAGCAUAAGCACGUCAAAGCUGCUCGGAAGAAGCCGACCGAUACGACUAAGUGAUUGCGGCUACCGCUGUUCAGUUGGUUGAGGGUGACCGUGGUAUUGCACAUAUACUCCCUUAAUGUCAUUAUCUAAUUUCAAAUAACACAAAUAUCAGUUUCAUUUGCUUCAUAUAUAAUUAUUGGGACUAUGUAUUGCAAGUCAUCAUGUGUUAUAAUGUCUAACAUUAUAUUUUGCAAAUAUGGAAAUAUUAUUCAAUAAGCAGUCAAUAUCACAGCAAGCCGGGAAUCAGUAAAUGCUCCUUAUCAUGUCCAUUUACAUUAAAGAGCUGGCGUACUAAUGUGUUCAAAAAAAACUGAGACGUGAGUCAUAAGUAACAUAACAUGUGCUAUACAUUGUUUACUGAAUGGUUUAUGGUUUAUUUUUAUAUAAUAAAAUUCCAAAUAUUGCUGAAGAUUUAUUUCGUCUAUAUGACUAGGGAUAUGAGUGGCCAUAAGCAUGUGAGACCUGCUAAGAAGAAGCUGACGAGUACGACCGAGUGAUUGUGGCUACCGUUGUUCAGUUGGUUGGGGAGAUCGUGGUAUUGCUAAGAGGGAGCACAUAAUAUGUUUUGCAAUCAAAUGUUCUUUUGUGUGUGGAAUUAUGAGUAUUUAUGUAAGUUAGUGUACCCUUUAAUAUUUUUCACCUAAGUAUCGAAAUGUAAUUAGCUGCAAUGUUAUGUUUCAUUUUUACACGCUGCUUUCUAUUUGCUCUGUUCCAACAAAGUGCUUCAAGUAUCCUUCAGUUACAAAAGUGUACAAAAUCGUGCCCCUAAUAACCAGUCGUCAAAAGUGGCUACUGCUGGAAAUGAUUACUGGUAAUGGAAACAACAGCUGGCUGCUGGAAAUGCUGCAUUAGCCUGAGGAUUUGAAAAAUGAAUCUCUGUUAAAACAUAAUUCACCCUAAACUGCCCAUUUUACAUGGUAAAGGUCAUUGCUUCUUCACAUAACUACAAAUUUCAUACUUGAUCAAAUGUCUAUGAAAAUUUAUAAAUAGGGAGAAGACGUAAAAUUAACAUGUCUCCAAAUUUCAUGGAAGAAUGAAACCAAGGAAAUUUUCAUUUCAAUUACCAGUGGACAUAGUAAGAGCUCAUCGGUGGACAUGAACAAAAACACAAUAAUAUUCAAAAACUGAAUCUAUAAAACUUCACCUGAUCAUUAAUCUUCAUAACAACCACAUUUCGUCUAAUACAAAUAUAAAUCAUUUAGUUGGUCCGUGCAUCCUGUCAAAAUCGUCGAAUAAUGGGUCACUACGAUGUAUUGGAGUUGAUUCGUCAUUGUUCGACGGUGAUGUCCUGCAUAAACAUCAAACACAAGCACAUAAAAAUUUUACCUUUUCAUAUUUUAGAUGUUAUUACAACUAGUGUUAGCAUCUUACGGUGUGUUCAAGGCUGGGCAUUGUCUUCUAUCAUGACCAAUGUGUCCACACUCCCGACAGUGUCUAAUCCCUCGCUUCAUUGCCUUUUCCUUUGCUCCCGUUACUCCUUUCGACCUUCCUUUGCACCUCACUCUCUUAGGGUCUUUCAUAUAUUGUGUUUGAGAGCUGGACCCUCCAACUUCGUUAUUACUUAGUCCAUCCUUCAGCAACUUUAACUUCACCUGCAAACUUUUUAGAGUCUCUGACAGUAGCUCACAUCCUUCUUCACUCAUUAAUGCAUCCUCAACCACAUCUGAAGCAAGUCGAGACAUUGUACUCCGCUUUAUUAGAAGGCCAGGAUCUGCACAGUCUUUAAUUUCGUUGCCAUUUGCAUCUGACACCAUUCCAGAUUUCGCAGUUUUCUUCCACCUCUUCAAAAUAUAUUUAUCGGGCAUAUAUUCAAUCUGGUCCCUUCUGAACAAUGCUAGGAUGUGCUUGCAAAUAAUUCCAACAAAUUCAAAUCUUUUGCAGCUACACGAUGCGUGGUCAGAAUCUUUGACAUAUACGACUUCUGCCACUCUUGUUUCCCAAUUUUUCCUUUCGCUCACGUUAAAGACAACUUUACAAGCAUCCUCUGUUUUGAGCUCUAGGAAACAUGCUGUACUUUGUAUUAGUUCUUGCUCAAACUUUUGAAACAUUGUCCUUGUGUACAAGGUAGCCAUUUGUUUGUUCAUUGGCAUCGGUAGAAGACAUUGAGCCACUUCAAAUGCAUCUACGUGAUCAGCAACUAACUCUUUUUCACGUUGAUGAGAAAGUGCCCUCUCAAAUCGUAUUAUGAAAUCCAUCAACGAAUUUCUCCUUGAUAUGUAUUGCUUGAAAAAACCAUGAGAACCUUCCGCUCUUUGGCUGCUUGACAUUCCAGCGGCAAAAAAUUGUCGUGCGUAGGCUGGAACCCAAGAUUCCCUUAAAUCAAACAUUGAACUUAGCCAUGGAUGGUCGGUCAAACCAGCCUUUGUAACCACAAUAUUCCAUUUUGCAUCAAACUCAUCCUUAUUGUCAGUAUCCCAUAUGGCUUUCUGAAAUUCACGCCAAUACUCCUUAUAAGCGUCACGUGGUAACUUAACAGAGAACUUUGAUGUGAUGUGCCAUAUGCAAAGUCGAUGAAAUGUACUCGGGAAGGCUAUUGAAAUCGCUAUGGCCAUUGCCGCAUCUUGAUCUGUAAUGAUCGUUUUAGGUUCCCCACCUGGCAUGGCUUUCUUAAACUCCUCAAACAUCCAAACAAACGACUCAGUCGUUUCCUUGCUCAAAAAUGCACAUGCUAAGACAAUUGUUUGACCAUGGUUAUUAACUCCCAACAUUGGUGCAAAUGUCAAGUCGUAUCGAUUCGUGUUGAAUGUGGUAUCGAAUACAACAACAUCUCCAUAAAACCCAUACGCCCGUCUAGAAGUUGCAUCUGCCCAAAAACAUCGACUAAACCUGUCAUGCCCAUCUCCCUCAAUCUUGAAAUAAAAAGCCUCAUUUUUUUUCUGUUCAGCCAUAAAAUACUCGGUCACUAGUUCAACAUCGUGGUUCCUCAGCUUCCCAUUCACACUACAUUCAAGAUUGUAGAUAUCUUUUUUGAUAAAACCGAUUUUAUCCAUUCCUCCGGAUUGCACCUUGAAAAUACUUACCUUAUGAUGAAUGGGAAUAUUAACUGAACCCAACUGUUUUGUGAGUACUUUGUAGAAUCUGAAAUAUGACGGUGUGAUCUCAAUAAAUGCAUUCUUUCUGAGGGUGUCAUCUUAUGAUUGUGUCCCUCUGCAAAAAGAGAUAUGGUAUACUUCUUGCUCCCAUUUGUCUUCACAACCACAAUCUUAGCUUUGCAAUUGCAUCUACUUAUUCCCCGUUGUCUUUUUCUCUCCCGAGUUUCAUCCUUCCUGUAUGCACCUUGUUUGCAACAUACAAAUUCUUUCCUCAAAAUCUCUUUCUUAUUUUUCCCCCAAAAGCUAGAAUGAAGUCGAAUACCAAAGCCAGCAAAGAAUGCAUAUCUAUUAUAGAAAUUGUAAACGAGGUCAAGCGAGUCAAACUUCAUCCCAACUGCUGGUGUUUCCUCAUUUCUUACUUCAGGAAUAUAAACCCUCCCAUUAGCUGUUGCACAUUCAUCACUCUCUGAGCCCCCAGACAUUUUAUCUACGUAUAUUAUUGAUCCACUUCUAUAUUACUGCAUAGCAAUUAUUCAUUCAUUAAUCAGUCAUUACUGCAUCACAACAUAUCAAUGCAUUCCACUUACACAAAACAUUGCCCAAAUUGACACAAAAUACGCAUAGCCUAACUUCCGAUUACACAAAACGCAAGCAAAAUUUCAUAAAAGUUACGUCAUCUCUUGUGAAAUAAUCUGGUCAAAAUAACAUUAGAACCAACAUGUUCAACUAAGAACACAAAUGUAAUUCAAACCACCAAUUACAGAACUUCACCCAAUAUCCUCUCCAACUGCUUACUCCUAAUGUCAUUAAGCCUAAGUUUAGGUUCUUUUACCUACAUUUCAUAAUUUUCCACCCCGACCAACAACAAUGAACUAAGAAUAUUGAAUAUUCAUAAGGAAAUGACACAUUAUUGAUGCCACAAAUGACGAAUUUCCCACCCUCACAAAAGAUAAACCUAACCCAAUAAAAUCAAUCCAGCAAGUGAACUUACCUCUCAAAAUCAAUCGGGAGCUCUGAAGUCAGUCAGCUUGAAAGAAUGUGGUGGACAUUACAGAAGACUCUUUGGUAUUUGAGACUCCAUCUCUACCAAAAUCGAGGAACAACUGCUGCUGCGGCUUCUAGCUACAAAAACAGAUAUGCUACUUUGCUUUCAUCUGGAAUCUUGUCAGCUGAAUGAAAAAGAGAAGGGGUUUUCACUUGAGCCAUAGAAUCAAAACAGGGCAACAGCUAGGUAAGAGCCAUUCUUCGUAAUACCCAGGAUACCAUAGAUCGCAGGCCUCCCAACGAGCUAAUGACAGUCGAGUGACUAUAAGGUUUGGGAGAUUUGGAUCCUUCUAAUUGUGGGUUUGCUUUACAUUCAAAAAGAAAGGAUUGUGUUCUUCAGUUUUUCACAGAGAGGGAAAGAGGGGAACAACUGAAGUUGGGUUUCUAACGGGUUAGAUUUCAACCCGAUUCUACAUGCACCCUCUUUUAAAAACUCACCGUUGGAUGAAAUCCAACGGCUCUUACAUGCCCCUCAAAAACACCCCUUAUAACUUCCCACUCACUAUAGAAGCUCCCCUGUUUGUGUUGUUGAAUUGGGUCUUUUAGUUGUUUUUGUAAACUCUGAUUUAAGUCUAGUUUGGUAUUGCUGUACUUUUAAAAAAAACUACUUCCGCUGUGCUGCUAGAAUACUCAGCUGUAAAAAAAAUUAGUUAUGCUUUUGGUAAACUAUAUUUGAAAAAGUGCUGUGAGUAAUCCAAAUGUUUGGUAAAUGACCAAAAAAAAGUGCUUUUAAUACGUACAAUGACUAAAAAGGACAUGAUGAUGGAACUAUUUGAUUUUUUCUUCAUUCUUUUUCUACUUAAAAAAAACUUCACUACAUAAUUUUUUUUUCUUUUUUUAUUUAUACUAUACACGUGUUCCUCUCUUCUCAAAAAAGUAAAUGCCUUUUGUUAUGUAUUGAAUGCUAACCCAACGACACCAAUUGGAAACCCAACACAGCCCAUCUCUCCACUUCAAUUUUUCUCUUUCUACCAUUUACAAGUUUUUUUUCUUCAUUCCUUCGUCUAACCAAAAAUAUCUCAUGUUUCCCCCAAUUAGUUUUAGUACUUUUGGGUAGGUGAGACUGAAAAGGGGAAAAAUUGUAUGUUGGGUUUAUGUUUUGGUGUUCUUGCAAUGGGAGAUAACAUAGUGGAGAAAGUAGCCAUGGUGAAAAUACAGAUUUCUGGGUUGCAGCCAUGGAGAUUUGAGCUGAUUUACAGUGCUGUAGUGGGGGUAGUUGAAGCCCCCCCAAAGUUGGGACUACUGCAACAGGAUCUUUCCACCCAAAACCAAAAACAAGAACAACAAACUCAGGUGGAACAUGAAACUCAUCACUCUCUCUCUUCCUUCGACUCGGGUUUUCUCUCUUCUUCCUCAAACCUGCGACAAAUAGAAAAACCCCCAAUUUAACAGAGAAAACUCUAGAUGCAGAAAGUUUGAGAAGUAGAAAACCAAAAAACCAUAAUUGUAAUUAAGUUAUUGAUGAAUGGGCAACCUUCUUAGCAAUUAAUUUUUUGAUGUCCACAAUGAGAGUUCCAGCAGCGUCAGAGAGUAGAGAAGGAAAUGAAGGAAAUAGAGUUCACAGAAUGGAGAAGAAAAAAGGGGCAAAAGACCGUCAAUUUGUAAAAUAAGUGAGGGUAUUACGGGAAAGUUAAAAGUUCAUUAAAACAACCGGUUAAAUUUUUUUUGAAGCAGCUUUUAAAAGCUUGGUAGAGACGGCUUCGAAAAAACAGCGAUCAUUGACUGCGAUUUUAAAAAAAAGCAGGAUUCCUGAUGUUUUCCAAACACCCAACUCAUGAAAUUUUUUUAUUAAAGCUGCUUUUUAAGAAAAUUAAACGCUGCCAAACACCACCUUAACCAUUUUCUUUGCGUGUGCCAAAUUUAUAAUUUUGACCAGUGUCAUGCAGGAAAAUGUUUCAUGCUUUGUUAACAGGGGGCUUUCGAUGAGUAUUUUAUUUAGAUGAAAAGUGAUUCAUUCCUUUCCUUUAUGGAUUCAUCUUGUUAGGUUGAUCUAUUGAAGAAUGAGCUUGGAUUUGAUGAGGCUUUUAACUAUAAAGAAGAGGCUGACUUGAAUGCGGCUUUCAAAAGGUGCAUAUGAGUAAUGAUAGAGAGAUUACAUUUAUAAACCCUAGCGGACCAUGAAUAUAAUGAGUCUUAAAUCUAUUAGACAAUUGGUUAGUUGACAGGUGGUAUACAAAGCAGUCUACAAAUGUGAUCUCCCUAUCAUUUUCCGUAAAAUACAUAUUUAUUAUGUUAUACUAGUUUCCUUUAGUAAGAAAAGAAAGGAAAAAAACUAUUAUUAAGAAUUUGUGUGUUGUUAGGGUUCAUCAUUGGGCUGGGCCAACUCAAAAAUUUUGGGUUCGAGCCGAGCCCUCAUGGGCCGAAAUGGGCCAGACUUUUUGUUAAAAAGUCUUUUCAAUCUUUUUGUUACACAUUUCGUUUUUUCAAAAGUGAUGGAUAUAGAGUAUUCUCUUAAACAAUAGUAUAGAUUACUACAUAAUUUAAGAAAACAAAAAUAUAAUAGCCAAACUUUUUUACUAAACCUAGACCAAUAACCAAUAUAUUUAAAAAAUAUUAUACCUAAAAAUGAAUCUUAUGAUGUGCAAUUUGUGCCUUAAUUAACUUAUAUCCCAAAUUAGGAUUGACAUCAUGAAAAUUAAAGCAAUUUGUGCCUUUAAAAUUAAUAAACCCAGAAUAAGCUUUCAAAUUCUUUAUUGAACCGUUAAAUUUGAACUUGACAAAAAAGGGGCACUAAGAGAUAUAGUGCAUAUAUUGCUUGUUUGUUACAAAAUUUUAGACAACAUUGAAAAAAUUAACUUAAUUUAUAACAUGUGUAAACAAAAUAAAAAGUUUAUUAGUUUAUCAUACAUAUUACAUUAUUUUGAUUAAGUAUAAAAUGAGGUUAGGGAAUGCAUCAAUUAAUCUUAAAAAAAUGAAAAGCAUAAGCGGGCGGGCCGAGCGGGCCUAACCAUCUUGCUAGGCUGGACUUUGACCCAUCAAGCCUCGGACUACCCACUUCGGAGCCGCGGGCCAAAUGAUGAUCCCUAUAUGUUGUAUAUGAUGCUUUGAAGCUUGAGCUUUCUUGAGUGAAGGAUAAAUUUUCUUUGUAAUUACCAUACACUUGCCAGGUAUUUCCCUGAAGGCAUUGAUAUUUACUUUGAGAAUGUUGGAGGCAAAACGCUAGACGCAGUGCUCCUCAACAUGAGAGUCCAUGGCCGCAUUGCUGUAUGUGGAAUGAUCUCACAGUACAAUCUUGAUCAAGCAGAAGGGGUAACAAAUUUGAUGCACCUUGUGUAAAAACGUAUCCGCCUCCAUGGAUUUUCGGUAAGAGAUCACUAUCACAUCCAUCCGAAAUUCGUGGAGUUUAUGCUGCCUUACAUUAGGCAAGGAAAGAUUGUUUAUGUGGAAGACAUAGUUGAAGGCCUUGAGAGUGGUCCAAGAGCGCUGGUUGGACUUUUUAAGGGUCUUAACUUUGGAAAACAAGUAGUUGACGUCUCUGCAUGAAUAAGUUGUUUUGUCAAUCGAUUUGGUGUGCUUGUGUUUCUAACCACUAUAACUUUGUUAAGUGGCUCUUUGGUUUUAUUUUUAUGUUUUUGGAUCCUUUUUGGGAUUGCAUAUGUUAAGUGGUGCACUUUGUCAUACAGAAGAUAUUCAUCAAUAAUAAGGGCUAAUUCAGGAUUGUUGUCACUUUUAAAAAAAGAUGCUUCUGUUGUGUUUUGGAAAUAAUAAGCUGUAAAGUAGUUCCAUGCGUGUUAAACAAUAUUUUUAAAGUGUUGUUAGUAUAAAAAGUUAUGUCAAAACCGUUUGGUAAAUUUUGAUAUAAAACUAGUAACUGUUGAUAAUGACUAAAACAUACAUGAUAUGUCGAAAGUGUUACGUGGUAACCAUAUGGUGGUGGUGGCGGUGGUGGUAUAGGUGGAGGUUGAGUUGGUGGUGGUGGUGGAGGUGGAGGUGGUGGUGAGGCGUGCUACGGGCACCAACUUAAAUACUAAUUUAAUGAUACCAACCUAUGUGGCAUAUGACAUGACAAUUUAUGUCAUAUGCCACAUCAUUUUUUUUAUUAGUUAAGUUUUAACAAUUUUUUGUCAGAAUUAACUUAAUUAUUUAGUUUUAAAUAAAUAAAUUCUGCUCCACGCCUCCCUUCCUUCUCGGAUCUACUACCAUGGCCUCCUUCCUCCCCAACUUGUAUGCCCUUAUUAUUACGCACAUUGAAUUUGGCUUUCGGGGUGUGACAUAUUUUUACCAAUCCCAUGAAGCUUUUCUUAUCUUUGAAUGCUUGAGUGCUAACCAUUGUGUGUUUCCCUUGCUUUAGGAAGAUUGCCUCACUCAGCAAGAAUGCAUGGUGAGGUGUUUGUGAAUGGUGCAAAAUCGGUACAUGUACAUGGCCACGACACCGAUAUAUAAAUGAGAAGAGAAUUCCUUGGUCAGUAUCAAUAUUGCGAAACUGUUGCAGCAUUGAAGGGUUGUGUGAACUCCUCGAUUUCAAGCGAAGUCGAAUAUUGCUUGAUGUGGAAGAUGGCUCAAACUAAUAAAAAUGAGGAAAACGGAUCAUACCAACAAAAAUAUGGCAGAUGGCCAGAAUCAAUAUAACCGUGGUCAGAUUUGGGAAGUGAGGCCAUGGCAGAUUCGGAGAGGGAGGGAGGCCAUGGCAGAUCUAUAAAGGAAUGGAGAAACAGAUCACACCUCUUCCCUUCUCCUCAUACCACAACUCAUCAUACACACCCAAUCGAUUUUGAAAUAUUACAUAAAAGUUGUGAUGGCGCUGGAACUGCAGAUUCAGAACGUUUUUUAUAUGCUUCCCACAAGCAGUCAGACAAACCCUUAGAGGACGAGUGACAUCAUUACCUUCUCAACUUACCAAAGAAAGAACUCCUUCCGAAGUGGUAACCACUUGCCGAUGCUCCCAACUACAGAACCAAGUUUCCAUGGACACGUGUCACCUCCACAAUAGUUUGCACAAAGUCCGACAUUGAAACUUUGUGCAAAACUCCCAUUUUCAGGGAACAGUACCUAAGGAAAAGGGGUAACUACUUUUCACAUUUACUGUUACUCUGCCAAAAUUACCACAUAUACUCGCUGACUUAAGUAUUGGAGAGUCUUCGGCAGGUACCACACCAGUGUCCGAAGCUUGACGAUCCCUUCUUCCUUGUUUUCUUAUGCAAGAUCCCUCCAUACCGAAGGUCCACAACCUUCUCCCUUGCUGAAGAUUUAACACUCCUUUAUCUAAGUUAACCCUCCGAAAAAGAGCAUCAACACGCGCAGCACUCAUUAUCUUUCAACAAUCUGAUUAUCUUAUACUAGUUAAUUUAUGGGUUGUUUGAUAACAAUUUCAAUUUUAAUUUUUAGUUUUCAUUUUCAUUUUUUUUGAAAACUGAAAACAUGUUUGGUAUUAGAUUUCGUUUUCAAAUUAAAAAAAAAGUGAAAUCUAGUUUUCAAAAUCACCUUUUUUUUAAAAAACAACUUGGAAGUGUUUUAUGUUUUUUUUUUAUGUUUUUUUUUUUUUUUUUUUUUUUUUUGUGCACUAUUGUUUGUUGGAGUGUUAGUUGACUUUCUUUGCACACCAAGGUUUCCCAUAUUAACUCAUGCAUAGAUUGGAAUUGAUUUCCUACUCUAAAUAGUAUUAGAAGUUAUUAAUUACCUUACUUAGCCUUCAAGGAAUAUUGUAUUAUAAAUAUGGCCUUCUACAAGGAGAAGAAUACACAGAAAAUUCUCACCACAAUUACUCUUUCGUAAUUUUAGCAUUAUUUCAUUCAUAAGUUUCACAUCACCACACAUGAAAUGCACUCCGGUUACCAAAAGUCGGUAUUUGGGACCUCCCAACUUGGACUUGGUCGCUCAAUUCGUGCUUUUGGCCACAAUCCCAAUCCAAACCUCGUCAACUCCAUGUCCAAAGGUCACUAAAAAAUAAUCAUAAUUUUAAAAAAUUCACCAAAAAAUAUUACGAAUUUUUUGUCAUUCCUGCUUUAACUUUACCUUUUGUUUUCAAAUGUUGACCCGUCCCAACCCAACUCUCAAUGCUCGAAGGGUUCUUUCGUGUAGUUAAGAGUUGGGUUUUCCAAGGUAGGUCUAUAUUGAUUCGAACAACUUUGCGGUAUAUCUGUGGGUAAGAUACUGUUCUCAAAGUAGUAAAGGCUGAACUAAAAGGCUAAAUGGGAAAAUGAAUACUUUCUUUUCUCUUCCUCAAGAAACAUACAUCCUCACCACAAGAGAGGGAGAGUUGCUUGGUAUUUUGUUAAAUAAAAUAAAAUAAUUAAUAAUUGAAAAUAGAAAAUGUUUGAAAAGGAUAUUGGGAAUAAAGAGAGAAGAUGCGGGUGUGAGUAAAAUAACAAUAAAAGAAAAUUAAAUCAAAAAUAAAAAAAUAAAAAAAUAAUUAAGUUUUGGGGAGUAGAAAUCGGGAUGGAGGGGGGAGAGAGAGGUUUUUUUUUAAAAAUUUUUUAUUCGUAUUUUAAUCAAUUUUGAUAUUGUUGAGGCCCAAAAAAGUUACGGGAAGCCCAAAGACAUUUAAAGCCCAAUAUAACAUAUAUUCUCAGUCAUGCGUUAAUCCAAGCUGUAAUUCGGAUUUAAUUCAUUAAAUAAAUAUAAAAUAGUGUACAUGUCAUGCUAAACUAAUAAUACAUUUUCCCCAUGCUAAUCACCUAUCAAGCUCACAUGAACCCAAGUCAUGUGAUUUACGGGCUUGCAUGAGGGAUUGUGGUGUGGAAGGUUACGGAGGUCCACAAGGCCCACGGAAGCUCUUGGAUAACAGAGACUUUGGGCUAGCUACUUGAGAGCACCAAAGUCCAAGCCCAUUACUUAGAGUUCUCCAAUGUGGGUGAGCAAAUGAGACAUUUUUCAAGCACUGCCUUUUACCUAUAGGAAAUAGUCAUUUUCCAAAUACCAAGCUUUACCCGUUGGAAACAAGCAUUUUCCAGCACUUCCUAUUACCCAUUGGAAACAAGCAGUUUCCAGUGCUUCCUUUUACCAAUAGGAAAAAAUCUGUUUAUGAUACCUAGCUUUACCUAUUGGAAAAUAGCAUGUCCUAGUCCUCCCUUUUAACCAUUAGAAAUAGGUUGGUUCCAAUACCUCCCUUUACCUAUUGGAAAUAAAGGAAAACCCUCACCCUCUAUAAAUUGGCACUCAUGGCUCAAGCAAAAGGCACCAAUUUUUCUUCAGCCAAUACUUCCUCACUCGGCUACUGCAAGCAUCCCAGCAGCCACCAACCCCCAUAAAGCAUCACCUAGCUCCAAGCUUUUCCUUCCUUCCAAGCUUUAAACACCAUAGCCUUUAAACCUCAAGCUUUUCCUUCCAUCCUCCUUCUCUUGAAACUCUUAAAUCCCCAUAGCCAUAGCCACACACAACAAAUUAUCAACACCAAACUCAAACAUAUCCAACACCAAGCCAAGCACAUGCAUUCUCAUUUGCUAAACUUGUGGGUCUUUAGCUCCUACACUCCAAGCUCUCAUGCUAAGCUCACAUAAUCUCAUACCAACAUCAGCAAGUCAUCUUCAACUCUUCGUCGAGCUGCCGAAAACAUCAACACAAAACAUGCAGCCGUUGGAAGAAGAACAAAGUACUCUCCCGGGACUUGCUUUUCCCUUGGGACACUUUGGGCCUAGUUCUCGCUAACUCAGAUAAAGGAACAACGAAGUCUUCAUUCAUCACUCUAUGGCGACCCAAGAAUCAACAAAGCCCGGAUGAGCCUUCGAACGAAAGUGACCACAUGCAAAGCUCAAGCUUCAAUAGCCAAGCCCAAGCUUUUGGUUCCUAAAAACAUGCUUACGACAGCUGCAACAAACAAUACCUAAGUCACCAUAAGUGAUAUGCCCCAGCGUCUCAAGCACUUUCUAUGCCCUGACAAUUCUAAUGAUCAAGUUUUAGAGUCAAACCAAAAGGCCAUUGGGAUGUCUCAAUUGCCACAAUUCCAUAAUCAAUCAUCAUCAAGCCUCAAGCCUUAUUCAAGAAAUCCAAGCACUAUUCUUUACUCAAGAAGGAAAACAUCUCAGUUCGUGGCAAAUAGAAGGAAAAUACUACGAAGGUACCGGAAGAACCUAAACACUGUCAAGAUGAAGUUUCCUUUACCAAGCAAUCAAAAUUUUUGAAGUGAUGUCAAGCUAUCAAGAAAAAGAGUAAAGUCACUAUGCAACACAACAACCAAAAUAUGCUUGUAGUAACCAAGAUUCAAGCCAAGCAAAAUGUGGAAGAUAAUGAUGCGUUGUAUGAAAUGCUCCUGGAAGAUAACACAAGCCCUAUAGUCAUGCUGCCGGAAGAGUGAACCAUCAUGCCACUAAAUUUGAAAGAGGAGCCCCAUAUCUGAGUACUGGAAGGCAGCGCAGUGGACUCCAAAACUAAGAUCUAGUCCAAGUGACUUAAGGCCUCCAUAUUGCAAUGCUUAUUUGCCAACACCUAUACCGCUUUCAAGCUACUGCAGACACUAUCAUGCUCAAAUCCUUAAGCAUCUCCCAUUGUAUUUUCAUCUUCUAAUCUACCAAAGCCCUCAUGAUUGACCAAGCUAUAUCUUGAUUCAACUCCACCCACUUGCUCUUUACAGCAGCCCAGGCCCAUCUGUAGCUGCCGGAACAAAAAAGCCCCAACGUAAAUGACAAAACCGAAACACUAAAGCACAUCCACCAUGCUAAAUAGCCCAAAAGCUAUAUUAAACCACGACACUUUAGCCAAUACCAAGCGUACAAGCCAAUGCCCAGCAUCCAAGCAUACAAGCCAAAGCUUAGCGUACAAGCCAAUACUAAGCAUACAUGCCAAUGCCAAGCAUACACACCAAUGCCAAGCAUCCAAGCCAAUACCAAGCGUACAAGACAAAGCCAAGCAUACAAGUCAAUACCAAGCAUACAUGCCAAUGCUACGCGUAUACGCCAAUGCCAAGCAUCUAAGCCAAUACCAAGCAUACAAGCCAAAGCCAAGCGUACAAGCCAAUACCAAGCAUAUAUGAGCCCAAGAUCAAGCGUACAUGCCAAUGCCAAGCAUCCAAAUCAAAUACUAAGAAUACAUGUCAACAUCAAGCAUACAUGCCAACACCAAAUAUACACGUAAAAACCAAGGAAGCAAGCACGGAUGUUUCAUGCAUAUUGAAGAACCAGCCAUGUCAUGCCACUGCCAAUUAUUUUGGGCUGAAAUAGAUUAUUGGGCCCAUCUCACUGCCACUUCAUAGCCCCAAUAAUCAAGGGGGCUAAUGUUGAGGCCCAAAAAAGUUACGGGAAGCUCAAAGACAUUCAAAGCCUAAUAUAACCUAUAAUGUCACUCAUGCGUUAAUCCAAGCUGUAAUUUGGAUUUAAUUCAUUAAAUAAAUAUAGAAAUAGUGUACAUGCCAUACCAAAAUAAUAAUACAUUUUUUCCAUGCCAAUCACCUAUCAAGCUCACAUGAACCCAAGUCAUGUGGUUUAUGGGGCUUGCAAGAGGGAUUGUGGUGUGGAAGGUUACGGAGGUCCACAAGGUUCAUGGAAGCUCUUGAAUAAUGGAGACUUUGGGCUAGCUACUUGGGAGCACCAAAGUCCAAGCCCAUUACUUAGAGUUCUCUAAUGUGGGUGAGCAAAUGAGACAUUUUUUAAGCACUUCCUUUUAUCCAUAGGAAAUAGUCAUUUUCCAAAUAUCUAGCUUUACCCGUUGGAAACAAGCCUUUUCCAGCACUUCCUAUUACCCACUGGAAAUAAGCAGUUUCUAUUACUUCCUUUUACCAAUAGGAAAUAAUCUGUUUAUGGUACUAGCUUUACCUGCUGGAAAAUAGUAUGCCCUAGUGCUCCCUUUUAACCAUUAGAAAUAGGUUGGUUCCAGUACCUCCCUUUACCUAUUGGAAAUAAAGGAAAACCCUCACUCUCUAUAAAUUGGCACUCAUGGCUCAAGUAAAAGGCACCAAUUUUUCUUCAGCCAACACUCCCUAACUCAGCUGCUGCAAGCAUCCCAGCAGCCACCAACCCCCAUAAAGCAUCACCUAGCUCCAAGCUUUUCCUUCCUUCCAAGCUUUAAACACCAUAGCCUUCAAACCUCAAGCUUUUCCUUCCAUCAUCUUUCUCUUGAAACUCUUAAAUCCCCAUAGCCAUAGCCACACACAACAAAUUAUCAACACCAAACUCAAACAUAUCCAACACCAAGCCAAGCACAUGCAUUCUCAUUUGCUAAACUUGUGGGUCUUUAGCUCCCACACUCCAAGCUCUCAUGCCAAGCUCAUAUAAUCUCAUACCAACAUCAGCAAGUCAUCUUCAACUCUUCGUCGAGCUGCCGAAAACAUCAACGCAAAACACGCAGCCGAUGGAAGAAGAACAAAGUACUCUCCCGAGACUUGCUUCUCCCUCGGGAUACUUUGGGCCUAGUUCUCGCUAACUCAGACAAAGGGGCAACGAAGUCUUCAUUCAUCACUCUAUGGCGAUCCAAGAAUCAACAAAGCCCGGAUGAGCCUUCGGACGAAAAAGACCCCAACAGAUAUAAAAAUACCAUUUUUCCCCUGCAGUUAACAGAAAAGUUAACAGCCGGACCAUUUGUCCUAACGAAACUGAAGUUGAAGAACUACGGGAACCAUUUUGAAAAUUGAGGUACUCAAAUACAAAUCGGGUCUAAGUUCAGGGAUUAAUAAAACAAUUAACCCCUGAGUUUAUAAUGCUCGAGAGUAUAUAGGAAGAGGACACUCCAACUGGCAGCUAUGGAGGAGGCCAAGACUAGUAGUGUCUAUUCUGUGAAAGCUAACUUUGCUUUCUUAUUAUCCACAACUUAGAUAUAUCAAUGGCUUCUUGCAAGAACCUCAAUUCUUUAUGAACUUUCUGCCCUAAAAUGCUUUAUCUAAUAGCUCAGACAAUGGUGAAAGAAAAAAAAUUGUUGUUGGAAUCUUAGCAUAAUAAUAUUUUCCAGCCAAAAUCAGUUGUUAGAUUCUCCAACAGCACAAUCUCUUUUCGCAAUCACAUACUAGUCAAUCCUACAGAGCAUAAGAUCCUACUUUGAGGGGUGGAAAGGAAUGAAUUCAACUCACCACUAUUAUGACCAAGGCAAUAAUUUUCAUUUCCAUCACAUGAUUCUAGGUGACCCACAACUCCAUACCACCAACCUGCAAUAUAUACAGAAAAUCCUAUCAAGCAAUGGACAAUGGGAAAUUAAUUAAUUUCACCUUUUAUUUAAGUUUCUGCAUAUUAAACGAAUCUACUUUCAUUAUAUAUUUAAGGGAAAUGUAAGCCUUUUUUUUCGUUCUUUACCCUUUUUUUUCCUCACCUUAAUGGGGCUUGAGGAUGUUUGAAUUGUUCGCUAGAACUACUUUCAUUAUCUAUUUGAGGCAUACUUCAUGAACCACAUGGAUUCUAGGAAGUGAUAUAGACCUUUGUUUCUUUCAUUUGAGCCCUUCUAGCCAACCCGUAUCACUUUUAUCCCUUGUUAAUCACCUUGUGCCUUUUAUGUAAGCCUUUUUUUUCGUUCUUUACCCUUUUUUCCUCACCUUAAUCUAUCAUAUGUUACCCUUCUAAGGAGUUUUGUACAGUAUUUUCGUUGUUAAGGGAGAAUUGCACAACAAUCAUGUGGAAAGUAAAGGAUACUAUUUCCAAAAAAAAAACCUAAUUUCAAACCCUUUUCAACUCGAGUUAUUGAGCCCUAUGAGUGUUUUACAUUUAAUUUCGUAAAGCUAUGUAGCUUGGGAGUCAUUGGCCUAACACUCGCUGCAUGGGUUGAUUAGAAAGCUAAUGAAGAGUUAGAAAAAAAAAUUGUGAAAAAUAAAUAAAUUUCAAGACAGUAUCAAUAUGAAGUUGCGUGCUCAAAGUGCAAGAUGUUAUAAUUUUCAUGGAAAGCUCUAUGAAUUCCUUAGAAUUUGUUCAUCCAUAUCUUUUUCUUGUUUCACCCGUCACUCUAAGCCCCAUUACAACCUUAUUUGAAGACUAUUCUGCUAUUUUCUCAAGGCGUGCAAUAUAUGACUGGAAAGAUAAGAUAAAGACCUACAAUUUACAUAUUUUUUCAGAAUUUUCUCGGAGGAGGAAUGAUUCCAAACGUGGGUGCAAAGUAACUAACGUGUUAUCCUAGUCCAAGUAGGAAGAUGAGUCAAUUACUUACCCAUUUUGGAUUUAAGUUUUAAUUAGCUGUUUCUUUAUUUUUGGGCUGUUGUAAAAGGCCAGCUAAGGUAGGAAUAGACGUGUGGCAUUUUAUUUAAGCAUGAGACAACUCCUUUGGGAAGACGCAAAGACUAGGAGAAAUUGGAGACGCCGGAAGAGUACCACAAUUGGCUAAGUUUUAUUGUUUCUUCCUUAUGUUUUUGUUUAUGUCAAAUUCUAUGAUUAUGUGUAACUAAUUUUAUUUUGCUAGGGCAUGAUGUAUGCCUAGUAUGAUAAUCUAGUUUUCUUAUUUUACCUAUCUAUUGAUUGCAGUUUGAUGUUAGAUUCUUAAUCACUGUGCUUAGUACCUUAGUUGAUUACCUUGAUGCUUGAUCACCAUCUAGACUUUUAAUUGAGUUAAUCGGAUGCGAAUUAGAGUAAAUACCAUACUUAAUUUGAGGUUUGCUUCUUGUGAUUAGAAUUUGUAAUUUGUCUAAAGUAAAUACCAUACUCCUAGAAUUUACAUGCUUGUUGGAGGUUUUCACUGAUUUCAAUAUUUUCCCGACAUGUGAUGCCAACAACAUAGAUGUUUCAAUGUUUCACUAUGGAAGCAAUCACGUAAGGAUUAACAUGGCAGGACAUCAGACAUGAGAAACUAAGAAGAGAGAGAGAGAGAGAGAGAGAGACUUGCCAUUCAAGCAAGAGAAGGCCAUAACACUAUAUAGCAAUAGCACCGUAAAAUAAGAUGCAAAGAAUGAGGGGGUCAUGUUUUCAAGUACCAAAACACGCAAGGGCAUUUUGGUAAAGUACAUCUGAAAAUAAAUCAAGGCAAGCAAAGCCGUAGAUAUCCUCUUCCUGCUACACAUAGUAUUAGCCUACGUAAGGUCAUUACGGCGCCGUUUCCCUUUUUAAUUGGCGUAGUUCAACUCAUCAUCCACCCAAGUUCAUUUCGUUCAAAGCUAUAAAUAACCCCUCAAACCAUUCAACUUUCCCACCACCACUCCUCACUCCUUCAACUCAUUAACCUCUCUCUCUCUCUCUCUCUCUCUCUCUCUCUCUCUCAUCCGCAAAUGGCGAACCGUAGAAGCCUCUUUUCUCUCUCACUUAUCUUUGUGUUCAUGAUCAACUCAGCCAUAGCCACUCCAGUCACAUACAAUGUGGCCAGUUUAGGAGCCAAAGCAGAUGGCAAGACUGACUCCACAAAAGCCUUCCUCUCUGCAUGGGCUAAAGCUUGUGCCUCGAUGAAUCCCGGUGUCAUUUAUGUGCCGGCAGGAACGUUCUUU
rnacentral:lncRNA from 1 species